ACAGAGUUUUUCAUGGAUAAAUUUGCCGUUAAUAAUUGUAUAAUUCUAGGAAUCAUCUAGUUUGCUUACACUGAUUAUGUUGGCACUUUGUUAGCGUUACAACAACUGUCAUACCCCCGAGGUAUCUAAACUUUAGUAAUGUGUGCACUUUUGACACAUCUGGUUAUCAUUUAGUGGUCAGUUUCAAACGUAUUUGAUUUUUGCUUGUUAUGAACAAAUUCACUUCACUACUUUUCACUGUCAGUAACAUCGAUGCACAUUGUUCCAUUUACUGCAUAUUGCGCUUUAUUCAUGUCUCUCAUUCCACCUGCAAAAACAUUGUAAAGUUUGUCACAAAGAGAUUUAUAUAUUUAUAAAUACUAAUAUUCUCUAUUCUAUGCUCUACUGCUUUUUUAUUGCCCAGAUUUUAGUUAGCCUUUGUUAAAUUGUCUUUUAUAUGUCAAUAUAUACGUAUGUCCCAAAUAAAAGUGUCUUGUAAAUUAUGUUUUUGUAAAGAAUUUUCUCCCAAAUCUCUUACAUGCUAACUGUAACGUCUUAUUUCUGCUAAAACCUGAACUUAAAUGUGUAUAUGGUGUUUAUCUGAUUUUCUAUUUGUUUUAGAUGCACAUAUCAAUUUGGAAUUCUGCCUCCAAGCCAGAAUUGCAGGAAUGCACCACGUGUUGCAGAAGACUCUUUCACUGCCCUCUGUGCCCCACUUUCAGCCCUACUGUCAGGGAUUGAGGAGUAUAUAAAUGGACACAUCAAAAAUGCUUUGCCUUUCAAAGACAAAAUGAUAUGCCGGUGCACUUUCACUGCCCUGUCUGUAACAUGACAAUCAUACAGCGUGGGGAUAUGGCAAGGCAAAUAUUGUCAUGUCAGCGUUUAGGACUGCUCCCCACUGAACUCUCCGUGGAGCCCCGCCUCUCUCCCGCUGCACUCUCUGUGGAGCCACAUCUCCCUCUCGAUGUCUUGUCUCCAGUAUCUAAACCAUUUUCUGAAUCUUUGGUAGAACAUUCAUGUGUUCUACCCUCUGUGCUAAAUGAAACUGUGGCUUGUGGAAAGUCCAUGGAAAUGAAAUGCCCUCACUGUGGUCUUAGUCUUCUUACAAAAAAAACUUCAAGGCUCACAUGAUGAGGAGGCAUUCAAACAGAUCAAUAGAUGUUUGCCUGGCCUGUCAUCUGCAGUGUUUUUGUGUAGAGGGACUUCUUCCUCUUUGUUUUUCAGUUUGCAGAGGACAUGGAGCUCUUUUUAAAAGCUUGUGCUGACGAGCAGGGACUAUGGGUCAAUGCGAUGUUUGACAUUUAAUGGACAGAUGAAGGCACUGGCUGUUUGUUUGUGUUUUUUAUGUGUUGUUUGUUUUUCAGUGUACAGAAUUCAAGUUAAGCUUAUUAUAAAAUGUUGUUCACUUGUUUCCAUGUCCAUACUAAUAGUAAAAAAUUUAAGUGUAAAUGUAACAGCAUGGUUUAUACUUGUAACUUCAAAGUAAAAAGUUUAUUGUUGAUAUUAACAUUAAUGUAUUACCCCGUAAUUAAUAAUAUUUUUAUACAUUUUACGCAUUAACCGUCUGGGCUCUAUCCUGUCCAUUUGUGGCCACUUCUUCUUUUUUGACUACUACACUGCAGUGGACCAAAAGAAUGACACAGGUUUGAUCUUAAGGAUCUAAUAGUUGUGUGUUUGUGCAUGACAUUGCAACGCAAAUAUGUAUUUGCAAGAUAGACUGGGAAUAAAUUAUGAAGCAUCAAAUAUUACACAGGCUGCAGUGAAUUUUUGUUGAUACAGGUUAUUGACCUUUGUGUUUCCCAGUCAAACUUAGCUUUGACACACAUGCUAACACUUUUACUCUUGUGCAUUUCAUAACAAGACACCAUAGCCAAAAUAUUAACUCUAUCAAAAAAUUUCAAAGCUGCAGCUGCAGCACACGCAGCAACAAACACUGUUAGUAAAUGUGUCCUGGAGUUUAUGCAGAUGCAAAAAGUGCUACUGCUGUAAGUAAGCCUAACAGCUUCCAGAUCACUUAUCUUUCUGGAAAGAUGGUAAGAAGGGCAUCACUGCUCAUCUCUACAAUCGCCCAGAUCUUGGAAUACAAUGCCUUUGUCCCAUGAAAAUCACUUCACAGUAUUAAGAGUCCACUAAAACCUACAAAUGAAGAGUGAUCCUGGAAGAAAUAGGGUGUACACUAGUGACCUCAACAAUUGCAAGACAGCCUUGUCCCCGAUGCUUAUAUGAAAAAA